GAGAUGCAAUAGAUACCUCUGCUCCAAUCAGGCCAAAAAGAAGCGGCUGGAAAAUGUCCCAGGCAAUGGCAAUUACCCGUUCAACCUCACCCUAAGAGAAAAGCAGAACACAAAGACAUUUUUACUAUGAAGCCGGUCCUCAUGAACGGCCCUUCAUUUGUUGCACUGGGAUGGAAGAGAAGAAUUCAUUUCAUUCACUGCAUGAAGUAUACUUCCAAUUGUCAGUAAGGGAUUUCAGGACCUUUUCAGAUGAAUCAGUAUCACCUUCCCCUGCCUGAAUCACAGUAUUUGACGGCCGGCCUUCAUCAUCUUCACCCAAGAGUUCCUGUCCUUCUUCACUAACACUAUAAUCUUCCAAAUCAAAGAGAUUCAACUCCAAAUUCUGAAUUGAUCUGAAACUGAUUCCUGAUCCACCCAGUCACCUGAAUGUUCACUUAUACCAUCAUCCAGAUCUGAUCUGAUGGAGUCUUCAUCAAUUCACUGCUAUUACUUCUUUCAUAACUUAUCUCCCUUACUCCGCAGAGCCGGUUCCCAUCACCCUGGGCCUUGGCUCACUGAAGAUUCCCCUCGAGGGCCAAGGCCCCUGGGGAGCUCAGACACACUUGGGAACUGAGGAAGGAGGCCUCAGGCAGGGAAAGCAGCUGGACCUCUGCCCAGGGUGCGGUGGGGACUGGGGCUACCCCAAAGACUAAGCUUUUGCUGUAUUUUCCAGUCACAAGGCCGCCUAUACUUACCUUUAAAAAAAAAAUAAACCAUCAUUCAAUAUGG